rnacentral:lncRNA from 1 species
AAAUAUGGAUGAAAUUUUUCUAUCUGCAGUUACUAUAGUAACGUUUCAACACACUUUCACUAAAAAUAAUGGAAGCAGUACUAGUAUUAAAUAGCAAAGGAGCUCUUCUUUCUUUGAUAGCCACUGAUUUUGAAGACAUCAAAUGGUUCGAAUUUUUCCAUACGCAGCUUUUACAAGGCAAUGCAUUAAUCACCAAUAAUAAAAUGACUCAAGAUUUAUACAAUGAAAUAUCAAGCAUACAAUUCACAAUACAAGGUUCAUUGCUACAGAACCAACACCAACAACCUUCUUUACAAGCUGUAAGCAUAAACAAUAAGCACUCUCAGAGAAUUCCAAGUUCCUUUGGAAAGUUUUCAUAGCCUGUUUUUG